rnacentral:misc_RNA from 1 species
GAUGAAGAACGCAGCGAAAUGCGAUAAGUAAUGUGAAUUGCAGAAUUCAGUGAAUCAUCGAAUCUUUGAACGCACAUUGCGCCCGCUAGUAUUCUGGCGGGCAUGCCUGUCCGAGCGUCAUUUCAACCCUCAAGCCCCCGGGCUUGGUGUUGGGGAUCGGCGAGCCUCCGCGCCCGCCGUCCCCUAAAUCUAGUGGCGGUCUCGCUGUAGCUUCCUCUGCGUAGUAGCACACCUCGCACUGGGAAACAGCGCGGCCACGCCGUUAAACCCCCAACUUCUGAACGUUUGACCUCGGAUCAGGUAGGAAUACCCGCUGAACUUAAGCAUAUCGAUAAGCGGAGGA